GUGUAAAGAGAUUGAAGACUGGUCCUCAAGUCCAGCGGGCCAAGAAGCAUCCAUUUCUUGUCCUAUAGGAUAUAAUGGUAUACAGGAGAGAAAAUGCAAAGAAAAUGGAGUAUGGGGCGCCAUCAAUACAAACAACUGCACAUCAGAGAAGCUAGACAAAUUUGAAAAAGCAAUAGGAGGGAAUAAAAAUAUUUCUGAAUCCACUGUAAAACAAUCACUUACUGCGAUCUUUGAUGUCGUCAACUCGACAGAUGAUAACAAUAACGUGGCACAUGUUAACAUAAAACAGAGCGUCAGCAUUAUAUCUGCAAUAUCCAAUAAAAGUAUAACAUUUGAGAAUAAGAAAGCUGCAGAGGAAGUGACAGAUAAAUUUGCUGGUGUUGUCAGUCAACUUUUAAAUGCGAAUAAAACCAAAGUAAAUCAAGCAAGUGAAGAAAAGAAAUUGAAAAGUAAGAUCAUCUCAUCUGUGGACGGAUUUGCCAAAUCUGUAACCAAGUCACUAAAAGAGAAUGAGACGGUGACUGUUGACAAGAAAAAUUUG